CUGUCUCAAGCCUCCAGUCAACAGAUCAGACAGCUUGUAAUCCCAGGCCAAGGACACGUGGAAAGAGACUCAAUUUCUAGAUGGGUGGUAACAGCCAUGACCUUCUGUCCUCUGGGUCCCCACAAGCCUGGAUGAACUCAAGAUCUGACUCAGUGACACGGUGAGGAGACCUUUGAGGCCUCAGUGACCAUCCUUGGACUUCACCUCGCAUGGCUUUCAGGCAGAGGGGCCCUCCCAUGCCCACAACAGGCCGAGCCCAGCCUUCCUCGGGGAGGCAGCCAUGACUGGCCACUUCAUGUGCUCCUGGAGAAGGCUUGCACCAGCCGUGUUCAGGAAAGUCAAGCAGCUGUUGACUCCUGAGUCUGGGUGAAUUUGUGUGAAGAGCAUAAGGCACUGUUUCUUAACCAACACGCUUCAUCUUGCAGUGCAGAUGGGAUGUGCUUCUCCAUAGGAGGCCCCAUGGCUUCCCCACCCCUCAGAGGAGCGCAGUGCGAAUGUGUGGAGGAUUUGCAGCUCCUGCAGGCUGCCCUUGGUCUACUUGGCGACGCCUGCCUUCCCUUAAUUAUACAGUCAUGAGCCGCCUGGAAUCACGGCAGCUCCCGAUGGAGCCUGGAUGCACAGGGCUGCGGCACAGGAGUGCGCGAGGGGCUGCAGAGCCGGAGGCUGCGGUGGGCACCAUGGAGGAAGCUGCCCUGGGCAGCAUGGGCAGGGUCUCAAGGCCCAGGUUUGAGUAACAGGUGUUGAGAGCUUACUUACUUUUCCUGAGACACAGUUUCCUCAUCUCGAGAGCACGGAAAAUCAUUCCAAUUUCAGAGGAUUGUUGUGAAAGUUAAAUGAAUUAAAGAGGUAAAGCCCAUACAUCCUUAGCUCAUGCUUGGCUCUCUGUCAAUGCCAGUUAGCGCUGCAUUUUCUCCCCUCUCCCUCCCUCCUUCUCUCUUUCUUUUCUUCUGUUCUCCAUUUCUGUUUUCUCUCCCACCCCACUCCCCAAAGCUCUGCAUUGAGAACCAGAUGCUGUCUGGUGGGUUAGGACCAGAGGAGGAAAAGCUGCCUGCGUGGGCUGCACCAUACCCUCUUCAUUCCAAUGACAUGAGGGGAGUCAUGACCCUCCCCAAUGACAUGACGGGAGGGAAAGGACAGAGGUAGACCGUCCUCCCCACCUCCUCCCAAUACAAAUGGAACUCCUGGAACUGGGAAAACAAAGAAUACCCCCAUAAAAUAAGACAGUACUUCUGCUGCAGUGUAAUAAAGGGGAAAGUAACCCUCAGUGUCAGGAAACUGCACCUCCCAGCUCAUAUUUGUGUGGAGGAAAGUUAAAUAUUAAAUUUGGACUCAGUUGAAUGUGGACACAAAGAAUGG
rnacentral:lncRNA from 1 species